CCCGCUGCAGGCAGAGCGGGGAGGGCACCGCGGUGGGGCCGGUGGAUGGUUAUCUUCCCGGCUGGCAGCCGCCAUGCCUUGCUGCCGUAGAUUUCUCUUGCCGGGCAGGCACCCACCCCACGCCUCCGGACCCCGCGGACCUGCAAACGCGGGGCCCAGAGCGGAUUUGCCCUUGGCGUUUUCCCAGGUUUGGCAGAGGUGUACCUGGCGGGGAUCUCUGGGGUCGCGCUGACGAUGCGCAGCGAAGAACGGCGAGGAGCUGCGACCAGGCUGGGUGCUCUCCGAGCGCGAGCAGACGACGUGCGUUCUCCCGGGUCCGCGGGGCGCGCGGCGCCCGCCCCCCAGGCCCGGGAAUGUGGCCUCUGGGGAGCCCCGGCCGGCGAACUCCCCGCGGUCUCUGCGGGUCCCGACUGCCGGCGUUUUGGCCUUGGAUGGGAAGUGGGGAAUGGAAUAUAGGCGGCUGCGGAACCCCCAAUCUGGAUUACUUGGUGCGCAUCGGCUGGGCUCGGAAGAUCCGCGCGGCCUCAUCGCCAUCCGUGGAUUGAUGCAUUCUACCUAACAGUCGGGUCGCUCACCUGGAGGUGAAAUCAGAGGUUUGUGGCUGCCCUGGGGAGGUGCUUCGAGCCAAGAAAGAAGGACAGGACAAAAGGCCUGGAAGGGAGGACUGGUAACGAGCUGGUCUUUCUCACUCACACUUCCCACCAGGAACCUUAGUGGAGCCAACGUUUGCCACCAGGACCCCGCAGGGGACCAGGCUAAGAUCAGACCAUCUCUUAAGAGGCAUGAGCUCUGGAUUUGAUUGAGAGUGCUUAUUUUGGAGAAGCUUCUGGAUUUGAGGAGACUUUUGAGGUGAAAGCAAAGCCCCCAGCCCUGAGGAGCUGCCUCUCUGCUGGCCUGCAAGAACAGGAGGUGGCCUGCAGCUGACGAAGAUGCCGGUGUCCCAGGCCGUGUUCCUCCCUCCCUGGUCUUAAGACCCCCCUGCACCAGUGCUCGGGAACCACAGGGCUUUCUUUCUGCCACGCCCUUUCUUGCCCGCCGCCUCCCACGUCUGCUGUGCCUUUGGGCUCAGCCGUUCUUCUUGUUUGCUCCAUCAUCCUCCAGCCGGAUGCAGAGUGAAUAGUUAACUACACGUAGGUCAAACGGGACCUUAAUUUCUGUUCCUGUUCCUUCCAAGAAACCAGUGUUUGUGUAUAGCUGUGUAAGCAGCCUCGGAGUAGUCACCCUCCUCAUUUAUCUGGAAUAUGGGCCCACGGGUUCCAGAGCGAUGCAGAUCGGUGCAGAAAGCCCUCCGCCUCUCGGGUGCUGGGGAUGUCAGAAGGGGCUUCGACAGAGAGCAGGGUCCAGAAGGCUAGGGUUCCCCGUGUUCAGCUUUCGUGGUUUGGAUCUGUUGGAUCACCUCUGGGGGAGCAGAAAGCGAGCACAUCUUCUGUUGACGUGGAUGCAUGGUCAGCGGUGAAGACCUCUCCUCCCAGCUGGCAGCUGGGGUCCACGUCCAAACACGGUGCUUCAUUACAGACUGUCCAGCGCCCAGAGUUGGUGGUGUUUACUGGGGACCUUCUGCUUUUAGUGUGUGCUGGCAACAUGUACGUCCGACAGUUGAUGGGCCCUACACAAGUCCUGUUCGCUCCUUUCACUCUGUGGCCACCAUCCAUGUGGCAGAAAACAUUUCCUAGAGAGCGAUCGUGGUUCAGCCUUAUCCAAAAUGCAGAGCCAAAGAUGUCUGUACUUUGUUUUUCCAAAGCAAAUGGGUGCCCUGCCUUUGUGAAAAGAAUUAAAGCUAGACAUGUGUAUAUCUUCCUUGUGUUGUAGAGGAUGUAUCUGUAUGAGCAUUUAGUAAUUUCAGAGUCUUCUAAAGGAAGUGAUGGGGGUCCUGCUUGGCGUCUCCAAAAGGAGCAAGGAGAACCCCUGGAGAGUGUUCCGUGGUGCUGAAAUGUGAGGUUUGUCUGUGGACUUUCACCCUCCUUCCUUGCCCUGCGGGCACACUCAAUUCAUUAAAUCCCUUCACGUUUGAAGGGGCAGAGACCCACUUAUAUUACCUCCGUAAAUGCCGGUCUGUUUCAAGUUGCCCUGGAAGUAAAGUAGAAAGGAAACAGUCUACCCAGUGGUGUCCAGCUAGUCCUGCCCAAGAAGCCCGGGUCAUUCAGGACACCCAGUCUCCAGAGAUGGUUUCCAGGGAUAGCAGAACUGUACCGCCGUGGUACCGUGGUCAUCGUGCUCUGCUGUGAGCAUCAGCAUGCCCUGCUCCUGAUUCUAGGAUUCUGCCAUGGUGAUGAGCUGUGAGUGACUGACGGUCCCCGUUUGCCCAGGACUGAGGGGCUUCCCGGGCUGCAGGAUUUUUAGUGCUGAACCUGGUGGGACCAUCCUCAGCAAAUGGAAAUGGCUGGUUGCCCUACUGGGUGACCCUGCCUCUGCUUCUGCUUUGCCUGGUGUAACCGGCUGGUGCCCUUGAUUGGUUCGGCCAGUUGCCACUCAGAGCCCUUGUGCCUGGCCCUUUCAUUGGCCCCUGGGCAGCCCAUAGGUGGGUGCCAUUGGAUCAGGCACCACCCCAUCCUGACUGCAUCGGUUGUUCCCAGGGGAGCAGGGCUGCCGUAAUAUUGAAUAAAAGCCUAGCUAUAAACAACCGGCUGUGGACAGUAGGCACCACGGCAGGCGUUUCAAGGCACCAGGGGUUCCUUUCCGACACAGUCCUGCUUAUAAAGGUGAAGUUAACCUUUUCUGUGAAGAACAGUUUAUUAUGAAACAAAAACUAACAUAGCUACCGGGGAGGAUGGAAAAUAGACUAUGAUGCGUGUGUGUGGUGGUGGGGGCGGUGUGUGUCACAGAAGCACACGCUGUGUAGAAUAAUCAGCCAAGAAGAAAAUUCUGCAUCUUAGCUGGACAGAGACUAAGCUGCAGAUCUUUGGGAUGGGUUGUCUGGAGAGGGAAGGAGUUGGCUCAAAGACUUCCUGAAAUUCCUUUGACCUCUAGGAGCCCUUGAGGUAUCAGGAGCAUGUAAAUUGGGCCUCGGUGUGUCUUUUCUCUCUCAAGUCUCCCAGAUGCCGUUUGAGCUCAACUCAGAUAGUGUGGAAUGGGACCUCCCAGCUCACCUUACCUCUCCAGGCACUGACUUUAUCUGGGAUAAAGGAGCGGAACUUGGUAGCGGUGGCGGGGGAGCUGAGGAGGAGGAGGACAUGGCAGCCCAAUUUUGGGUGUUUGUGACAAGUAAGAACAACCUGAAGGCAAAUUACAGGUUCUUUUCAGGUUGGUUAAAGCUGGGCUUUUAGGAUUUUCAUGCUGUCCUGAAGUUGUUGCUUCUUGUCGGGGAUCAAGGCUCCAUCUUCUCUGCUGAGAGACAGGCGUGAGCAUCUGGAGUCCUGGAACACGGACCUUCAGCUAACCAUGCUCACCUUGCCUGGUGUGGCCCCAGAGGUCGUUGCCUGCCGAGGUAGAGAUGAGCAUGCAAACAUCUGGAAACGCCUCUCUCAUUGCCCUUGUGUGGAGAUUCAGACCCGGCCUGAUGCACCUGCACCUUUGCCCCCACCUCCUGAGUCUGUUCUGACUCUCCCAGCCUUCACUGCCAUUGAUGGAAUGCUUGCCAGCUCCUUGGGUACCAUUGUUCUUUUUUAAAAGCUGGACUCAUUUCCGAUGUCUCCUUCAUUUAUGUCCAUUUAUGUUAUUGGUUCUAAAAGAAGUCCCACCGUUGUGCCAAAAGCAACAACGUCCUCUUUUUCUCUCUUUUCUUAUCUUUUCAGCCACAUGCAGUCACAGAAUCUCAGAGCGUGAAGUGGUCUCAAGCAUCAGUCUUAUCUAGAUCUACCAGUGACUAAGGCAGGAAUCCCCUUUCCGACAUGGGGUGAGGGAUGGUCCAGCUGUGGGGGAGGCAGCCUUCUUGGCAGAGUGGGAGAAGACUCUGAGAGAAGGCUGGAUGAUAGUCAACCUGAUGGGGAAGCAGAAUUGUAAAGAGCAAUUCAUGGGCUGCCAAGUAUCCAUGAAUGUCAAUUUCUUUAUCAGAUACUGAGCCAAAUGCAUCUUAUUUCUGGGUCCAGGUGUGUUUCUUACGCUGAUAAAAAGCACAGAGUGGGGAAACAAGGAGACCUGAGUUUUUGUCUCAGAAAGCCCCUCGUCUUAGUGCAGUCCUUGGAAAAUGAAGACGUCAGGCCACAGGCUCCCCAAAGCCCCUUCUAGCUCUGCCAUCCACAGUGCCGCCACGUUUGAUAAGAGUUCAUGACUUAAAAGAUUUGCUGUUUUUUGUUCUCUCUGGCUCUAGUCCCGCCUUAACGUCAACGUGCUCCAAGGUCGUGGGUAAGUCACUCAAGCCUUUUCUCUGGGUCUUAGUGUUCUCAUCAGUGAAAUGGGAGAGGGAGCGGUGGUUGGCUGUGAUGAUCUUCUCAGGUCCCUCCCGUGUGUCAAGUUCUGAACCUCGCCUGACCCAGCUGAGGUCUGGCAAGUAGCUCUUUCACGCUUUGCCUUCGGCUGCACCAGCUGAAAACAGGGCUGUGCCUGGAAGUCCAUUACCAAAGCAUACUUCAAAGCUGUUUGCACUCGUUGUCAGCCGCACUGAACAAGAGUUUGUUGAGGGAGAAAGCCAGUAGCCAUACAGACCGAUGA